ACCAAACCAUAGAUUCAAAGGAUUCCAGAUGAUACCCUAAGAUUUUAUAAAUAUACAUUGUACUUGGUGACAAUUGUUUUACUCCCCCUUUCCUCUGAUUAUGCCUUAUUUCCAUAUCUUAUUACAUUAUCCAAGACUUUGCAGAACCAUAUUCAAUCAUGAUGAUGAUGCUGGUUGUUGGGAAUACCACCAAGAAAGUAUUUCCCAAAGCAUGCUCUGUGGAGUGCUAGUCUUUUUAAAGUAUCUGCCAAGAAAAAAAAAAUCACAUAUUUAAGCAGAAAGAGGAAUGUACUGCAAUCCAAAGAGCUGAUAACUGAGACUUGAGAAGGAAAGAAUACAGAAGAAUUCUGGAAGCCUCUCUGUCAAGUGCUGCCAAGUAACUGACCUCCAACUACUCUGUGGUUUCUCCCUCAAUCCCACAUUUCAAAUUCUCAAGAGAGGAAAUCUGAUUGCCUACACUGUGGUUAAAUAUCCAUUCCUGGAUCAAUCAACAAUGGUCAGGGGCAGAUGGUAGACAUAAUACCUGAAGGCUCAUCUUCAUGUCUCAGGGGGUGGUGUUUCUAGGCCUGUCUUCAAGGGAAUUUUAUUAGUUGGGGUGACACCCAAGAAUAGCCUUUGUAAAAUCUCUUGAAAUCAAUAUUGUGCAUCACACCUUGAAAAAUACCAUUAACUAUGAUACUGAGUCUUGAUUUAAUAUUAAUAUUUUUAUUGGGGGGGAAAUAUACUUUUGUUUCAUUUCUUUUGGGCAAAAUAUCUAUGUUUUCCUCCAAAUGAAGUUGUGCCAAUGAAUUGAAACUAUUAUAAAUAAAAUUAAGCUAUAUGAUAUUGCUAUGUAUGUGAAUUCG
rnacentral:lncRNA from 1 species